GUACACACCGCCCGUCGAUACAACCGAUUGAAUGGCUUAGUGAGGCCCUUGGAUGCGCGGCCGCCUCGGCAGUCGCGCAGGAAUCGUCCAAACUUGGUCAUUUAGAGGAUGUAAAAGUCGUAACAAGGUCUCCGUAGGUGAACCUGCAGAAGGAUCA
rnacentral:rRNA from 1 species